rnacentral:rRNA from 1 species
AGAGUUUGAUCCUGGCUCAGGACGAACGCUGGCGGCGUGCUUAACACAUGCAAGUCGAACGAUGAAGCCUUUCGGGGUGGAUUAGUGGCGAACGGGUGAGUAACACGUGGGCAAUCUGCCCUGCACUCUGGGACAAGCCCUGGAAACGGGGUCUAAUACCGGAUAAUACCUUCCCUCGCAUGGGGGUGGGUUCAAAGCUCCGGCGGUGCAGGAUGAGCCCGCGGCCUAUCAGCUUGUUGGUGAGGUAGUGGCUCACCAAGGCGACGACGGGUAGCCGGCCUGAGAGGGCGACCGGCCACACUGGGACUGAGACACGGCCCAGACUCCUACGGGAGGCAGCAGUGGGGAAUAUUGCACAAUGGGCGAAAGUGAUGCAGCGACGCCGCGUGAGGGAUGACGGCCUUCGGGUUGUAAACCUCUUUCAGCAGGGAAGAAGCGAAAGUGACGGUACCUGCAGAAGAAGCGCCGGCUAACUACGUGCCAGCAGCCGCGGUAAUACGUAGGGCGCAAGGUUGUCCGGAAUUAUUGGGCGUAAAGAGCUCGUAGGCGGUCUGUCGCGUCGGAUGUGAAAGCCCGGGGCUUAACCCCGUCUGCAUUCGAUACGGGCAGACUAGAGUGUGGUAGGGGAGAUCGGAAUUCCUGGUGUAGCGGUGAAAU